AAGUCGUAACAAGGUUUCCGUAGGUGAACCUGCGGAAGGAUCAUUAACACGUAUCCAAACGUUAAAACCCCCCCCGUGAACCUUCAUCCUGCUCUUGUAACCCGCGUAGUUCGCAAUCUCUGAUAAAUCAUAGCCCGGAAAGUUGUAGUGAUUCAGAGACCUCUGGCUACGUGCGAACAUUGGAACAGUUACAAUCGAGCGGUAGUUCUAUAGGCAAUGUUUCCCCAAGCUAAUAACCCCACAGUUUAAUGUGAAGCUCAAUGUAAUACAUUGGGUAAAAAAACCGAACAACUGUUAACAAUGGAUAUCUUGGUUCUC
rnacentral:misc_RNA from 1 species